rnacentral:rRNA from 1 species
UCGGCUUAGAGUUUGAUCAUGGCUCAGAUUGAACGCUGGCGGCAGGCCUAACACAUGCAAGUCGAACGGUAGAGUAGCUUGCUACUUACGAGUGGCGGACGGGUGAGUAAUGUCUGGGGAUCUGCCUGAUGGAGGGGGAUAACUACUGGAAACGGUAGCUAAUACCGCAUAAUGUCGCAAGACCAAAGCGGUUCGUCGCACCAUCAGAUGAACCCAGAUGGGAUUAGCUAGUAGGUAGGGUAAUGGCUUACCUAGGCGACGAUCCCUAGCUGGUCUGAGAGGAUGACCAGCCACACUGGAACUGAGACACGGUCCAGACUCCUACGGGAGGCAGCAGUGGGGAAUAUUGCACAAUGGGCGCAAGCCUGAUGCAGCCAUGCCGCGUGUAUGAAGAA